rnacentral:rRNA from 1 species
CAAUAGCGUAUAUUAAAGUUGUUGCAGUUAAAAAGCUCGUAGUUGGAUUUCGGGGCAGCCUGGCUGGUCCGCCGCAAGGCGAGUACUGGUCAGCCGCCCUUCCUCUCGAAAGCCCCGACUGCUCUUUAUUGCAGUGGUCGGGUAGUUCGGGACGUUUACUUUGAAAAAAUUAGAGUGUUCAAGGCAGGCCUACGCCUGAAUACAUUAGCAUGGAAUAAUGGAAGAGGACCUCGGUCCUAUUUUGUUGGUUUCCAGGACCGAAGUAAUGAUUAAGAGGGACAGUUGGGGGCAUUCGUAUUUAAUUGUCAGAGGUGAAAUUCUCGGAUUUAUGAAAGACGAACAACUGCGAAAGCAUUUGCCAGGGAUGUUUUCAUUAA